ACUCAAAGGAAUUGACGGGGGUCCGCACAAGCGGUGGAGUAUGUGGUUUAAUUCGAUACUACGCGAGGAACCUUACCUGGGCUAGAAUGUAUUUUGCUACUUUGAGAAAUUGAGGGUUCCUUCGGGACGGAAUACAAGGUGCUGCAUGGCUGUCGUCAGCUCGUGCCGUGAGGUGUUGGGUUAAGUCCUAUAACGAGCGAAACCCUUUUACUUAAUUGCCAGCACGUAAUGGUGGGGACUUUAAGUAGACUGCCCGUGUAAGCGGGAGGAAGGAGAGGAUGAGGUCAAGUCAUCAUGGCCUUUAUGCCCAGGGCUACACACGUACUACAAUGGCAUGUACAGAGGGAAGCUACUUGGUAACAGGAUGCAAAUCUCAAAAGCAUGUCUCAGUUCGGAUUGAGGUCUGCAACUCGACCUCAUGAAGUUGGAAUCGCUAGUAAUCGCGUAUCAGCAAUGACGCGGUGAAUACGUUCUCGGACCUUGUACACACCGCCCGU
rnacentral:rRNA from 1 species